rnacentral:misc_RNA from 1 species
UACAGAGGUCCCAAGCGUUGUUGGAUUCACUGGGCGUAAAGGGUGCGCAGGUGGCAGGGAAAGUUCGAUGUGAAAUCUCCGGGCUCAACUCGGAAAUGGCAUUGAAAACUAUCCUGCUUGAGGGUCGGAGGGGAGACUGGAAUUCUCGGUGUAGCAGUGAAAUGCGUAGAUAUCGAGAGGAACACCAGUGGCGAAGGCGGGUCUCUAGACGACACCUGACACUGAGGCACGAAAGCGUGGGGAGCGAACAGG